UGGGCGUGUCGACGUACGCGCCGGCGUGCUUACACCACAUGAAAACAUCUAACAGCGCGUUCUCUUGGUCGUUGUAAACGUUUUAUUUUAUUGUGACGUCCUCUUAAAGACAAUUGUUGAUCUUACCAUGUAAUUAUAAAUAUUGUUUACAAAAUCAUUUACUGUAACAAGCUAUUAAUGAUUUAUAAGUAUUGUGAUGUGUGUUGAAACAAUAUAAAAAUUAUCCAUUACAAUAUUAUAAACUGACCAAUUGCAAAUUCACCACUUGUUCGAAUGCCUAAAAUAAUAACACAAUAUCCAUUUAUAUGCGUAGGCUGCUACCAACAAUUUUAUCUAGGACACAGUGAUUUUUAAUAUAGCUAGGACAUCAGUGACUAGAAUAUAUUAUCAAACAAUUUCUAUAUAUUUUAGAAAUACAACGGUAUUACAUUAUCCUGGGAAAAAACUAAAAGGUGUUAAAUUUGAACUCGGGAAUGCUAAAGACCUUCCUUGCGCUUCUUUAGUCGUUCCUAUGCUUACAGACCAUCCGUCACCGCUUUUAUGGUGUGCAAAUUCGCGACAAACAAACGUUGCGAAAGGAACAUUGCGAAACAUCCGGACAUCACCGGGUGACAGGUCGUGCGUCUGUGCCGCUGCCUUGGUAUGUUCACGCUAAUGCGUUUUUGCUUGUGACAGAUAGUGAUUGAUGCAUAUUUAAUAACGCAUUCGUCUCCCGAAUCGAAAGAAGAAAAGUUCUAACAUAAACAUUUGACGUAAUACGUUUUUCUGAGCCCGGUGGAUUUUAUGCGAUUCGUUUGCGAAUUUCCAUAAUUAUUAUUAGUCAAAAUAAUUGUGAACGUUUUUAUUAUUUUUAUUGUAAGUCUUAACGUUUAUAUUGUUUGUGUUUCUAAUACAUAAUAACGGAUAAAAAUCAAACGUUGGCAUUCAUUAAAGCACAUAACGCGGCAAAACUUUUAUGGGAUGCAAACCAAACGAAUUAUUGCAACAAAAUUUAAAUAGGUGAUAUGUACGUUGGAGCGUAUGGAUAAUGAAUAUAACAUUGAUUUUUCCGCUGUUAAAGUAAAAUUAAAAAAUGUGCAUUUGUAUUUUACAAAGAAUUGUUAGUUACUGAAAAAUUUUCAACGGUAUAAAAAAAUAUAAUUUAGUAAAAAUUGUA